rnacentral:rRNA from 1 species
AGAGUUUGAUCCUGGCUCAGGAUGAACGCUAGCUACAGGCUUAACACAUGCAAGUCGAGGGGAAACGAUAUUGGAAGCUUGCUUCCGAUAGGCGUCGACCGGCGCACGGGUGAGUAACGCGUAUCCAACCUGCCCACCACUUGGGGAUAACCUUGCGAAAGUAAGACUAAUACCCAAUGACGUCUCUAGAAGACAUCUGAAGGAGAUUAAAGAUUUAUCGGUGAUGGAUGGGGAUGCGUCUGAUUAGCUUGUUGGCGGGGUAACGGCCCACCAAGGCAACGAUCAGUAGGGGUUCUGAGAGGAAGGUCCCCCACAUUGGAACUGAGACACGGUCCAAACUCCUACGGGAGGCAGCAGUGAGGAAUAUUGGUCAAUGGGCGAGAGCCUGAACCAGCCAAGUAGCGUGCAGGAAGACGGCCCUAUGGGUUGUAAACUGCUUUUAUAAGGGAAUAAAGUAAGUCUCGUGAGACUUUUUGCAUGUACCUUAUGAAUAAGGACCGGCUAAUUCCGUGCCAGCAGCCGCGGUAAUACGGAAGGUCCGGGCGUUAUCCGGAUUUAUUGGGUUUAAAGGGAGCGUAGGCCGGAGAUUAAGCGUGUUGUGAAAUGUAGACGCUCAACGUCUGUACUGCAGCGCGAACUGGUUUCCUUGAGUACGCACAAAGUGGGCGGAAUUCGUGGUGUAGCGGUGAAAUGCUUAGAUAUCACGAAGAACUCCGAUUGCGAAGGCAGCUCACUGGAGCGCAACUGACGCUGAAGCUCGAAAGUGCGGGUAUCGAACAGGAUUAGAUACCCUGGUAGUCCGCACGGUGAACGAUGGAUGCCCGCUGUUGGUCUGAACAGGUCAGCGGCCAAGCGAAAGCAUUAAGCAUCCCACCUGGGGAGUACGCCGGCAACGGUGAAACUCAAAGGAAUUGACGGGGGCCCGCACAAGCGGAGGAACAUGUGGUUUAAUUCGAUGAUACGCGAGGAACCUUACCUGGGCUAGAAUGCCCUUGACAGACUCAGAGACGAGUUUUUUCGCAAGAACAACUGUGAAGGUGCUGCAUGGUUGUCGUCAGCUCGUGCCGUGAGGUGUCGGCUUAAGUGCCAUAACGAGCGCAACCCCUCUCCUUAGUUGCCAUCAGGUUAAGCUGGGCACUCUGGGGACACUGCCACCGUAAGGUGUGAGGAAGGUGGGGAUGACGUCAAAUCAGCACGGCCCUUACGUCCGGGGCUACACACGUGUUACAAUGGCAGGUACAGAGAGACGGUUGUACGUAAGUACGAUCAAAUCCUUAAAGCCUGUCUCAGUUCGGACUGGGGUCUGCAACCCGACCCCACGAAGCUGGAUUCGCUAGUAAUCGCGCAUCAGCCAUGGCGCGGUGAAUACGUUCCCGGGCCUUGUACACACCGCCCGUCAAGCCAUGAAAGCCGGGGGCGCCUAAAGUCCGUGACCGUAAGGAGCGGCCUAGGGCGAAACUGGUAAUUGGGGCUAAGUCGUAACAAGGUA